rnacentral:rRNA from 1 species
AGAGUUUGAUCCUGGCUCAGGAUGAACGCUGGCGGUCUGCUUAACACAUGCAAGUCGAACGGGCUCUUCGGAGCUAGUGGCGGACGGGUGAGUAACGCGUGAGAAUCUGCCCUUAGGAUGGGGAUAACAGUUGGAAACGACUGCUAAUACCCAAUGUGCCGAGAGGUGAAAUCUAAUUGGCCUGAGGAUGAGCUCGCGUCUGAUUAGCUAGUUGGUAGUGUAAUGGACUACCAAGGCGACGAUCAGUAGCUGGUCUGAGAGGAUGAUCAGCCACACUGGGACUGAGACACCGCCCCCACUUCCUACGGGAGGCAGCAGUGGGGAAUUUUCCGCAAUGGGCGAAAGCCUGACGGAGCAAGACCGCGUGAGGGAGGAAGGCCUACUGGUUGUAAACCUCUUUUGACCGGGAAGAACACAAUGACGGACCGGUCGAAUCAGCCU